rnacentral:tRNA from 1 species
AUUUAUAUAGUACAAAUUUAGUAUAAUUAAUUUCCAUUUAAUAGGUUAAAAAUUUUAUGUAAAUA